GUGGGGGCCGCUGCGCUUGCUGUGGGUGGGCGAAGCGGCCGGCAUGGCGCCCUCCCGGAGUCUCCGGAUCCCGGUGGCAGUGCUGCCACUGUUGCUUUGGGGAGCUCCCUGGGCCCACGGGAGGCGGAGCGACGUGCGCAUCAUCACAGACGAGAACUGGAGAGAGCUGCUGGAAGGAGAGUGGAUGAUAGAAUUUUAUGCUCCAUGGUGUCCUGCUUGUCAGAAUCUUCAACCAGAAUGGGAAAGUUUUGCUGAAUGGGGAGAAGAUCUUGAGGUUAAUGUUGCAAAAGUUGAUGAGACAGAGCGGCCAGGACUAAGUGGACGGUUUAUCAUAACUGCUCCUCCUCCUACUUAUCACUGUAAAGAUGGUGAAUUUAGGCGAUAUCAGGGUCCAAGAACUAAGAAGGACUUCAUAAACUUUAUAAGUGACAAAGAGUGGAAAAGUAUUGAACCCGUUUCAUCAUGGUUUGGUCCAGGUUCUAUUUUGAUGAGUAGUAUGUCAGCACUCUUUCAGCUCUCUAUGUGGAUCAGGACUUGCCAUAACUAUUUUAUUGAAGACCUUGGAUUACCGAUUUGGGGAUCAUAUACAGUGUUUGCUGUAGCAACUCUACUUUCAGGACUGUUAUUAGGACUUUUCAUGAUAUUUGUGGCAGAUUGCCUGUGUCCUUCAAAAAGGCGCAGAGCCCAGCCAUACCCUUCCAGAAAAUUACUACCAGAAUCUUCCCAACCUUUGAAAAAAGUGGAGGAAGAACAAGAGGCUGAUGUAGAAGAUGUUUCAGGAGAGGAAUCCAAAAGGAAAGAAGGAACAAACAAACACUUUGCACAGAAUGCUGUAAGACAACGUUCUGUGGGUCCUUCACUGGCCACAGAUAAAUCCUAGUUAAUUUUUACAAAUAUUUUCAUAUGAUUUUGGCAGAAACAGAAGAUCAAGCAUUUGUUUUGGUUUGAAGUGAACUGUGACUUGCUUGUACAUUGCAAGGUUCAGCCUGGAUUGUCAUUAGGUUGAACAGUCUACCUUCGGAAAAUAAAAGUAGCACUGGAAAAAAAAUAAAA